UUCCCGUCGCCGAGUGCAUCCUCUCCCUCACCCCACCGGCCCAUUCUUCGGCCCCUGGACGCCUCCUCCCUUUUCUGGUUCUUCUGGCUGGUUCCGUCGAGUUUGGUUUGAACUUUUGAACCCACCAAUGAGCGCCGCGCGCCCCUCCUCUCUCCGCCGGGAGGGAUCCCUCCCGGCCCCGGGCCUCUCCCUGCUUCUCCCCCGGACUCCUUAGUAGUCUGUCAGUGGGAGAUCUUCGCGGCCGGCCCCUCCCCUGUUCCAGCCCCGCAAAGCCGUCCAAGUCUCCGUCAUGGUGGCCAGGUUGGGAGAGUCGAGUUCACCUGGCUGACUCCUCGUCGGGCUCGAAGUCGCGGCCUGGGUACUGCCUUGAGUGGAAGUGGAAAAGCCACUUGAUCCUAGAGCGGGGCCAGUCGUUGAUUCCUUCGGGGCCGCUACUGCCCCAGGAAGGUGGGAGAACCUUCGCACUGGCUCCCAAGGACUUGUGAAGGCUACAGAUCGCUCCCAUUUCCUGAAGUGACCUCACCCUCCCACAGCCUUCCGCAAAGGAUCCCUGGAGCAUCUCGUGUGCUCCAGCAUAGUAGGUGCAGACGUUUCCUGGCGACCCCUCUCCUGUGCCCUGUGAUUUGGUGCUGAGUCCACCUGUGGCCAGACUCUGGGAAGAGUUUCCAAUUGCACCAUCGUCCCCUGUGGCCGGGAUGGGGGUGGGUGGGCGGGGGCAGAUCUUGCAUUUGCGCCAGUCCACCUGAAGGAUGAAGGCAGGCUCCUCCUCUGAAGGAAAUGACUGUCCCGUGUUUAUCCCUGCAUUUCUAGUGUUUCUAGUGUUAAUUUAGUGGGGUGUUUAGUAGCUGAAACUUUCUUCUUACAGGUUUUUAAAAGUCCACAAAAGAGAUAUUUACUUAUAAAGUCACAGAGUAAUCUAGUACUGACAUAGUAGUCUUGCUUUUAAAGAAACAUGAAAUUACACACAACUUGAGUAUUUUCUAUUUAGCUGUCAGAGGUUUUGGAAACAAGUAUCUUAGGAAUCAUCCGUUGGAGGUCUACCUAAAGCAGGCCAUGAGUAUCA
ensembl:lncRNA